rnacentral:lncRNA from 1 species
GGAGAAAUGGAUCUUUGUAAAGGACAAGGAAGUACCAUCAAGACUCUGACAGCCUGGUCCCUCCCACAGGAGACACAACCUUUCUCAUGAUACUUCAUGGGUUCAGUUACGGCCAGCUGAAGCUGAGACACAUUUGCAUGGUUGGCACAUAAACUUGGCUUGCCGCUCUCUGUGGAGACCACAGUCUGAUUGUGGAUAUCCCCUUCUGUCCAUGGAUGUCACCAUAGGUGUAAUCUAGUCACAAGGACAGAAUGUUUACAACGGUUUCUGUUUCA